AGAGUUUGAUCAUGGCUCAGAAUCAACGCUGGCGGCGUGCCUAACACAUGCAAGUCGCACGAGAAAGUGGAGCAAUCCAUGAGUAAAGUGGCGCACGGGUGAGUAACACGUGAAUGAUCUACCUCCGAGUGGGGAAUAACCUAGAGAAAUCUGGGCUAAUACCGCAUAACACUUACGAGUCAAAGCAGCAAUGCGCUUGGAGAGGAGUUCGCGGCCGAUUAGCUAGUUGGCGGGGUAAUGGCCCACCAAGGCGAUGAUCGGUAUCCGGCCUGAGAGGGCGCACGGACACACUGGAACUGAAACACGGUCCAGACUCCUACGGGAGGCAGCAGUGGGGAAUUUUGCGCAAUGGGGGAAACCCUGACGCAGCAACGCCGCGUGGAGGAUGAAAUCCCUUGGGAUGUAAACUCCUUUCGAUAGGGAAGAUAAUGACGGUACCUAUAGAAGAAGCCCCGGCUAACUUCGUGCCAGCAGCCGCGGUAAUACGAGGGGGGCAAGCGUUGUUCGGAAUUAUUGGGCGUAAAGGGUGCGUAGGCGGUUUGACAAGUCUGAUGUGAAAUCUAUGGGCUCAACCCAUAGUCUGCAUCGGAAACUGUCGGGCUUGAGUAUGGGAGAGGUGAGUGGAAUUUCCGGUGUAGCGGUGAAAUGCGUAGAUAUCGGAAGGAACACCUGUGGCGAAAGCGGCUCACUGGACCAUUACUGACGCUGAGGCACGAAAGCUAGGGGAGCAAACAGGAUUAGAUACCCUAGUAGUCC
rnacentral:rRNA from 1 species